rnacentral:rRNA from 1 species
GAUGAACGCUGGCGGCGUGCCUAAUACAUGCAAGUCGAGCGAACAGAUGAGGAGCUUGCUCCUCUGACGUUAGCGGCGGACGGGUGAGUAACACGUGGAUAACCUACCUAUAAGACUGGGAUAACUUCGGGAAACCGGAGCUAAUACCGGAUAAUAUAUUGAACCGCAUGGUUCAAUAGUGAAAGACGGUGUUGCUGUCACUUAUAGAUGGAUCCGCGCCGCAUUAGCUAGUUGGUGAGGUAACGGCUUACCAAGGCGACGAUGCGUAGCCGACCUGAGAGGGUGAUCGGCCACACUGGAACUGGGACACGGUCCAGACUCCUACGGGAGGCAGCAGUAGGGAAUCUUCCGCAAUGGGCGAAAGCCUUACGGAGCAACGCCGCGUGAGUGAUGAAGGUCUUCGGAUCGUAAAACUCUGUUAUUAGGGAAGAACAAAUGUGUAAGUAACUAUGCACGUCUUGACGGUACCUAAUCAGAAAGCCACGGCUAACUACGUG